rnacentral:rRNA from 1 species
UUCGCAAUGCCCGAAAGGGUCUGACCUAUCCCUGGAGGAAGCACGGGCUAAGUUCGUGCCAGCAGCCGCGGUAAGACGAACCGUGCUAACGUUGUUCGGAUUCACUGGGCUUAAAGGGCGCGUAGGCGGCUUGUCAAGUCAGGGGUGAAAUCUUUCGGCUCAACCGGAAAAUUGCUUCUGAUACUGGCAGGCUGGAGGGAGGUAGGGGCAGGUGGAACUUCCGGUGGAGCGGUGAAAUGCGUAGAUAUCGGAAGGAACGCCGGUGGCGAAAGCGACCUGCUGGACCUCUUCUGACGCUGAGGCGCGAAAGCCAGGGGAGCAAACGGGAUUAGAUACCCCGGUAGUCCUGGCCCUAAACGAUGGGCACUAAGUAGAGGGGUUUUAAUC